UGCCCCAUCAUGCUUUCGAUGGUAGUGUAUUGGACUACCAUGGCUUCCACGGGUAACGGAGGAUUAGGGUUCGAUUCCGGAGAGGGAGCCUGAGAAACGGCUACCACUUCCACGGAAGGCAGCAGGCGCGUAAAUUACCCAAUCCUGAUUCAGGGAGGUAGUGACAAGAAAUAAUGGGUCGGGGUUCUGCCCCGGGACUGCAAUGAGACGAAUCUAGACCCCUUAUCGAGGACCAACUGGAGGGCAAGUCUGGUGCCAGCAGCCGCGGUAAUUCCAGCUCCAAUAGCGUAUAUUAAAGUUGUUGCAGUUAAAAAGCUAGUAGUUGGAUUUCUGGUAGAAGGUUAGAGCGCACCUGCGUGAUGCUCGCGUCUUCUGCCAUCCUUCUGUUAACCUAGCAUGGCCUUGAUUGGUCGGCUAGGGGCUCAGAUAUUUUACCUUGAGAAAAUUAGAGUGUUUCAGGCAGGCUUGUGCCCGGAUACAUUAGCAUGGAAUAAUAGAAUAGGACUUUAGCCUCUUCUGUUGGUCUGAGGGG
rnacentral:rRNA from 1 species